GGGGGAGCAGGGAACUUUUAUGAUGCCCAAAGAUUUCCCCAAGGCAGAUGUUUCUGCUUUUGGCAGCCUAUUCCUGGAGGGGAAAGCAGAGAGAUGGACUUGCUGUCAUUUGGAAUGACUCUGUCCCUGUGGUGAAGUUGGCCAGCCAGGACUGUGCCCCAGUCUUCAGUUUUAUCCAGCACAGAACAAUUUGGGUACCAGCCCCAAAGAGGACUCCCAACAGUGUGUAUAAGGACUUCAGUUCCUGAAAUUGCUCAUGAAAGGCCUUGGUCAGAAUUUUGGUGGCAAUAGAAAUACUUGAACA